UACGUAGGGUGCAAGCGUUGUCCGGAAUUAUUGGGCGUAAAGAGCUCGUAGGCGGUUUGUCGCGUCUGCUGUGAAAACUCGGGGCUUAACCCCGGGCCUGCAGUGGGUACGGGCAGACUAGAGUGCGGUAGGGGAGACUGGAAUUCCUGGUGUAGCGGUGAAAUGCGCAGAUAUCAGGAGGAACACCGGUGGCGAAGGCGGGGUCUCUGGGCCGUAACUGACGCUGAGGAGCGAAAGCGUGGGGAGCGAACAGG
rnacentral:rRNA from 1 species